UACGUAGGGAGCAAGCGUUGUCCGGAAUCAUUGGGCGUAAAGCGCGCGUAGGUGGCCCCAUAAGUCCGCUGUGAAAGUCACAGGCUCAACCUGUGAAUGCCGCUGGAAACUGUCUGGCUAGAGUCCGGAAGGGGCGAGUGGAAUUCCUGGUGUAGCGGUGAAAUGCGCAGAUAUCAGGAGGAACACCUAUGGCGAAGGCAGCUCGCUGGGACGGUACUGACGCUGAGGCGCGAAAGCGUGGGGAGCGAACAGG
rnacentral:rRNA from 1 species